GACGAACGCUGGCGGCGUGCUUAACACAUGCAAGUCGAACGGACAGGCCCUGCUUUUGUGGGGUGCUCGAGUGGCGAACGGGUGAGUAACACGUGAGUAACCUGCCCUUGACUUUGGGAUAACUUCAGGAAACUGGGGCUAAUACCGGAUAGGAGCUCCUGCUGCAUGGUGUGGGUUGGAAAGUUUCGGCGGUUGGGGAUGUACUCGCGGCUUAUCAGCUUGUUGGUGGGGUCGUGGCUUACCAAGGCUUUGACGGGUAGCCGGCCUGGCAGGGUGACCGGCCACAUUGGGCCUGGGGUGGGGCCCGGAGCGCUUCGGGAGGAAGGGGUGGGGACUUUUGGAAAAUGGGCGGAAGGCGGAUGGAGGAACGCCGCGUGGGGGAUGACGGCCUUCGGGGUGGAACCCGCUUUCGACUGUGACGAAGCGUGAGUGACGGUACUGGGUAAAGAAGCACCGGCUAACUACGU
rnacentral:rRNA from 1 species